rnacentral:tRNA from 1 species
UCCCUAGUGGCUUAGAUGGUAAAGAAUCUACCUGCAAUGCAGGAGACCAAGGUUCGAUCCCUGGGUUGGGAA